rnacentral:lncRNA from 1 species
GGUAUUUGCUGGCAGCCACCGAAGUGUUCGUCUUACGACUCUAAUUGCAUGUUGGGGCUAAAGGCUUGAAUCCAAGCCCUGGUGCGGAAAGUCCUCGAAUUCAUGUAUUCUUCUCUUGGGUCUGCACGGGUGUGCUGUGGGACUUGUACUAAAUAUAGCAAUGCAUUUUGAAUGAGAUUCCAAGAGCCUUUGAUUCGGAGCUCAUUUAGCUAAUCAAAUCCUAAAUCAUAUUAUGAGAACUGCACAAUCUGAUAUCAAACAAAAACUGAAAGAAAAAAAGAAAACCUCGAUUCUCAUUCGGAGUUCCCUCGUUGAUGUUUCCAGUCUCGGCAGAAGCAAGAACACCUUCUUCCAGAUGAAGUUCCAAGAAAGAAAGGUGAAACAUUUUUUGAAAGCUCCAAAUCCGAUGACUUCAGAAGGUAGAGUUAUCCCCAUUAUCGUUGAAGCAUCAGAAAACACUUUCCGAUGGAUCUUGGAAAAUAAGUU